rnacentral:rRNA from 1 species
UACGUAGGUGGCAAGCGUUGUCCGGAUUUAUUGGGUUUAAAGGGUGCGUAGGUGGUCUAUUAAGUCAGUGCUGAAAUAUCCCGGCUUAACCGGGAGGGUGGCAUUGAUACUGAUGGACUUGAGUAGAGUCGAGGUAGGCGGAAUUGACGGUGUAGCGGUGAAAUGCUUAGAUAUCGUCAAGAACACCUAUAGCGAAGGCAGCUUACUAGGCUGUAACUGACGCUGAGGCACGAAAGUGUGGGGAUCAAACAGG